AAACUCAUUAGGGAAAGCUCGCGAGGACGGCCAUAAUACAGGAGAGCAUUCGCGAAGGUCAGGGUCAUUUGUUAUCUUUGAGAAAGAUGGGAAAAGAUUCACGAUCAAAACCGAAACUGAGCGAGCAUCCAACUUUAAACUUUUGCACUACCGAACUAUUUCGAAGAUGAUCGCGGGAAAAUCGAACUUCCGUUUAGUUCGGCCGAAGUCACCUUCCCUAAUCUGAGGGUCAAGGUUGCACUUCACUCUCGUUCGAGCUGCAGAUUAGUGUAGAAGUGUCGCGAGCUUGUCCGAGUCGAAUAACCGUUGAAUUCUUUAGAACAAAAGUUAUCUUUAGAAUAAGGCUGUACAAAGUGUGUGCGUUCAAGAAGAAGCGACAGCCUACGGCUAUAUCUACUUUGCUAGCGACGCUUCCUGCUUUUCGACGCGAAGAGUGCGGCUUCUUGCAGCCAUCAGAAGCCAGCGGCCCGCCAACACGCCGCUAUCCCAUUGCAGUGGUCAUCAAUAGCCACAACGUGGCCAGACUCAGCCUACGGCCCCCCGCGAAAGUCUUCAUCCACGUGGAAGCGCGACUAAACCGGCAUCUAGUCCCACCCUACCGCGCAACGUACCAGGAGCGCAUACACCACAGCAGCACAUCGUCAAAUUACUGCAGCUAAUCGGUGAGUCGCCUAUUCCAAUCGAUCUUUUUUUGUGGAGUGGGGCGUCCGGUGAGGACGCCUCGGAGGAAAGUUUUUUGCCGACCAUAGGUCGAGGAAUCAAGACAGAUGGACAAUCGUCCCGACGUUCAAUAACCAUUUCGGUUGAGCGGGAGUAAAAUCAAAACGUGUACACGUAGUUUUCGGAACACCCCCAACCCUAUUGUGUAAGCCACCCGGGUGCAUAUGGCUAGCUAGAUCGGUCGCCGCAUCGUCGAUUGAAAACUGUGAAUGGAGUAGCACAAGCAGAGUAGAAGCACGAAGAAUAGAAACGCACAAAUGUAGGUUAGAAUUAGAAAGUACGUACAACACAAAUUGAAAUAGAAGCAUGCUAAUAUAAUAAAUCUCCUUGUUUUUGGCCAUGAUUUUUCGUAAAUAAAUGUUUGUUAUUUAUUACCAACCAU